rnacentral:rRNA from 1 species
AUUGAACGCUGGCGGCAGGCCUAACACAUGCAAGUCGAACGAGUGGGGACGGGUGAGUAACACGUGGGUAACCUCCCAUCAGAGGGGAUAACACUUGGAAACAGGUGUUAAACCGAUACGGCUGGAUGGACCCGCGGUGCAUUAGCUAGUUGGUGAGGUAACGGCUCACCAAGGCCCCGAUGCAUAGCCGACCUGAUAGGGUGAGCGGCCACACUGGGACUUAGACACGGCCCAGACUCCUACGGGAGGCAGCAGUGGGGAAUCGUGGGCAAUGGACGAAAGUCUGACCGAGCGAUGCCGCGUGAGUGAAGAAGGGUUGCGGAUCGUAAAACUCUGUUGUUAGAGAAGCGGUAUCUAACCAGGAAGCCACGGCUAACUACGUGCCAGCAGCCGCGGUAAUUC